rnacentral:rRNA from 1 species
AUACGGAGGAUCCGAGCGUUAUCCGGAUUUAUUGGGUUUAAAGGGAGCGUAGGUGGAUUGUUAAGUCAGUUGUGAAAGUUUGCGGCUCAACCGUAAAAUUGCAGUUGAAACUGGCAGUCUUGAGUACAGUAGAGGUGGGCGGAAUUCGUGGUGGAGCGGGGAAAUGCUUAGAUAUCACGAAGAACUCCGAUUGCGAAGGCAGCUCACUAGACUGUUACUGACACUGAUGCUCGAAAGUGUGGGUAUCAAACAGGAUUAGAUACCCUGGUAGUCCACACAGUAAACGAUGAAUACUCGCUGUUUGCGAUAUACAGUAAGCGGCCAAGCGAAAGCAUUAAGUAUUCCACCUGGGGAGUACGCCGGCAACGGUGAAACUCAAAUGAAUUGACGGGG